rnacentral:rRNA from 1 species
UGGGGAAUCUUCCGCAAUGGACGAAAGUCUGACGGAGCAACGCCGCGUGAGUGAAGAAGGUUUUCGGAUCGUAAAGCUCUGUUUUUAGGGACGAAUGGUGAUUAUGCAAAUAGUGUAGUCACAUGACGGUACCUGAAGAGGAAGCCACGGC